rnacentral:rRNA from 1 species
UAAGCGGGAUGUGAAAUCCAAGGGCUCAACCCUUGAACUGCAUUUCGAACUGGCAGACUUGAGAAUGGGAGAGGAAGCUGGAAUUCCUAGUGUAGGAGUGAAAUCCGUAGAUAUUAGGAGGAACACCAAUGGCGAAGGCAGGCUUCUGGCCCAUUUCUGACGCUGAGGCACGAAAGCGUGGGGAGCGAACGGGAUUAGAUACCCCGGUAGUCCACGCCGUAAACGAUGGAUACUA